GGUGUGGGGUGGGGAAGAAGAGAGAGCAGACACAAAUAGGCCUUCCGCACCCCUCAGGUUUCUCACCAGCUACCCACAUGCCCCACCAGGGCCACACGUGUCCUAAGCCUGGGAGGCGUGACAGGGCAGCCAAUCCAAACACUGGACAUGCAUCAGCCCUGCGGCAGGGGUGGGAGUGUUUAAUCACUGAGUUCCGAGAGGGGCUGCGAAAGAGGAAAUGAGUCAAGAAUGGUUGCCACGGCAACCACUCAGUGGAGUCCUGCAUCUGUGCUGUCGGGAGAGGCUGUGGGCCGGGCCCAGGGUGCAGAGGCAGCUGGGAGGCAAAGCCCCGGGGCAGUCGCAUUCCUGGUGGCUCCUCUGGUCUCAGCCUGGCACCCCGGGUCCUGUCCAGGCUGCUGGCAUGUAUGGCGAACCCGGUGCUGCCUGGAGUCUCCCUCUGGCCCCAGGAGCUGGACGUGCCUGGAGGUGGACGAUCCAGAGCCCUGGACAAGAAGGCUGUAUCUGGGGACAAGCGGCCAGCUUCCCCUCCUCAAGGUGGGGUGUGGCCCAGGCCUGAGGGAUAUCUACUGUCUCCCCGAGGCCCCCAGUGCUGUCUCGGCUUCUGCCCUCCCCAACCCCCUCCUGGGGUGCCAGGGGUCCCCUCCCACACCAACUGUCCUGGAAUCUGAGAUUCACCCAAGGAAGCCUCCUGCUCUCGCUUCUCCGCAGUCCCCUCACCCCUUCUCUCUUUCUGGGGCCCCAAAGCAUCGCUCUCCAGGGCAGAGGGCGGGGCGGGCCUCCCGCUGACUGUGGCGUGGCAGGCAGGGGGCAGAAGGCAGAGCUGGAGGAGGGGUACCUCAGGAGGCAUGAGCAGGCUGGGCGCUCACUGCACCGACCCAUCCCGUGUUGGAGACCUUGGCCAGUGCCCUAGAUGGCUGGUGUGCCCCCCUAGGCCCAGGACAAUGGAGCCCGCCAGUUACAUAAAGCCUCCUUACAUAACCGGGGUGAAGACACAAGAAGAGCCAGGCAAGUCAAAACAACGGCAGCCGGGUGGGAAGGCCCCGCGGACAAACACCGGGAGUGAUCUUUGUUCUUCAUACCCUUUGGUUUAGCUCUCACUUCGUACACCGGACUUCACGUGUGUGUUCACAGACACACAGGUGCGGCAGAUCCCUCCCCGGAGAGGGUGGUGAUGGGAAUCGGAAGUCGCGUUUAACUUCUUCCGUAAGCAGGACCCUCAGACAAGUGCACCAGAAAGCCAGUCCGAUGGGCUCACCUAGCCAGUCCGACAGGCUCUCUCGGCCGGCCGCUGGCCUCUGGCUGUCUGGCCAGGAGCUGGGGACAUUCAGAUUGUUGUUGAGUGAGUCCUUCAGGAGUCACACCACUGCUCGUUGCCAUCCCCUACGUAAGGGCUGGAUGGGUGUGGGAGUCCCUGCCGUCAGAGUUUGCUACCAAAACUUCCCCUGCCUGAGCUCAGGAACCGAAUGGACUGAGAUGCAGAGGAUACCGGCCUUCCGCAUGCACAUGGCGGCCUGUGGCGGGGCCAGCACACGUGGUCCUGCGCCUCCACAGCAGCCCCUCUGUCCUGACGGCGGUCCAGAGUGAGCCAGCUCACUGCCAUCACUGCUUCCAGGGCAGUGCCCACACCGGAGGACGCGGACUUCGACGUGAAUUCUGGGUCUGGCAUCUCAUUCUCUAUGCAUCCCUUUUCUCACCUGUAAAAUUACAAAAAUUAUAUCUAUUUCUUAGGGUUCUUCUGCAGAAUAAAAAUCAUAGAUGUGGA